rnacentral:lncRNA from 1 species
AUGUCCGUUUCAAUUACUUCAGUGGAACAGAAAGAGCCCCAAGAACUUCAAGAGAAACUGGGAAGAGAAAGGGGAACUAACUACUCCAUCUAUCAGGAGGCUUCCCUCUGGCCCAAAGCUGUGUACACUCCCACCGGGGAUCUUCAGGGGAAGCACAUUUUGUGCUGCAGAACAUGUGCUAGUUUACAUCCUGUUUUCAUUUCUGCAGAAAAUUCACUUCCUAAACAGUAAUGGUGAGAGUUUCUGUAAUCU